rnacentral:lncRNA from 1 species
UUAUUAUUAUUUUAAUGUCUACAGAAUGUAAGUAGUAUCGUAUAAAAAUUUCGUUAAGAAAUUUUACCGUUUGCAUGCUUAAUUUAAUAAAAAGGACUAAUUUACAAAAGGUGCAAAACUUGAAUUCUAUAAGCUAAAGGGACCUAGUGGCCAUACUAUUAAAUGGUUGAAGGUUUUAUGUAGUAAUUAAACCAUUUUAAUCAUGAGUGGAUAAAGAUAGACAUUAAAUGGAUGAAUUUUCAAGUAUUAAUAAAGGUUAAAAAUGUA